ensembl:lncRNA
GAAGUAGUCACAACGACGACAUCACUAGCUAGGCCGCAUAUUCCAUCGCCAGAUCCGAACCAAGCGAAGUGAAGGAAGACGGGUGUCCUUUUCGUACACUGAGUGUGGUGGAUAAACCCCCGCCUUCACGCACUUCGUCGCGGGAGGACAAGGAGACUGCUGGUCCUAGCCUAGUUCAGUACAGUAUAUGUUGUGAGCGUGCUUCAGAUCUCCGGAGAUAGCACAGUACGCUGUGUCCAGCCCAGAGGUGAAAGCCAUCCAAAGCAGAGUAACUGUGCUAUUGUGCCCAAGUUGAUACCUGUGGAGAGAAAAGGAGAGAGAGUGAAUAACACGAGGAGGAAUAGAGCGAACCCUGUACUUACAGUACGCUGUGUCCAGCCCAGAGGUGAGAGCCAUUCAAAGCAAACUAACUGUGCUAUUGUGCCCAAGUUGAUACCUGUGGAGAGAAAAGGAGAGAGAGUGGGUAACACGAGGAGAGACCGAGGAAACCUGUACUUACGCCGCUGCCUGUGGAGAAAGAGAAAGCGACCGUUGCCUGUGGAGGAAGAGAAAGAGAGUGAGCACCCCGAGAACGAACUGUGUGAACCAGUACUUACCGUGAGCUGUAUUCAGCGAAGAGGAGGAAGAAGGAGGGCGCUACGGAUACCUAAGACUCAGGCCGGGGCCCGAGUCCCACGCCCCGGAUCCCCGUGGCCCCCUUGCUCCCUGACCUCUUCCCGGCCAUAGCCCAUCUGGAGGGCCGAGUCAGAGUUUAGUUUUAAUUGCCCUUUUCCUAUUCCCCAAGCUAUUUUUAAAUAUUUAAAUAAAGAUUGUUUUAUCACUUACUUGUUCUCG